rnacentral:rRNA from 1 species
UAACUCAAGGGUGCCGAGUGAGUGAGAGGGCCUUCGGGUUGUAAGCUCUUUUGUCAGGGAAGAAAAGCAGCUCUAACACAGUCUGCGAAUGACCGUAUCUGAACAAUAAGCACCGGCUAACUACCUGCCAGCAGCCCCGGUAAUACGUAAGGUGCGAGCGUUAAUCGGAAUUACUGGGCGUAAAGCGGGCGCAGGGGGUUAUACAAGACAGGCGUGAAAUCCCCGGGCUUAACCUGGGAAUGGCGUCUGUGACUGUAUAGCUUGAGUGUGUCAGAAGGGGGUGGAAUUCCACUUGGAACAGUGAAAUGCGUAAAUAUGUGGAGGAACACCAAUGGCGAAAGCUGCCCCCUGGGAUAACACUGACCCUCAUGCACCAAAACCUGGGGAGCAAACAGGAUUAAAUACCCUGGUAAUCCACGCCCUAAACGAUGCUGACUAAUUGUUGGGAAUUUACAUUCUCAAUAACGUACCUAACGCGUGAAGUCAGCCGCCUGGGGAGUACGGUCGCAAGAUUAAAACU